GCAUGCUUGGUGCUGGUGAUUCAGUUCAUCGGUGCCGGAGCUAACGCGUUAAGCAUGCCGCCUGGGGAGUACAGUCGCAAGGCUGAAACUCAAAGGAAUUGACGGGGGCCCGCACAAGCGGUGGAGCAUGUGGUUCAAUUCGACGCAACGCGAAGAACCUUACCUGGGCUCGAACGGCCGGUCAACGGUAUCGGAAACGGUAUUACCCCGCAAGGGGGUCCGGUCGAGGUGCUGCAUGGCUGUCGUCAGCUCGUGUCGUGAGAUGUUGGGUUAAGUCCCGCAACGAGCGCAACCCUUGUCCUGUGUUGCCACUCCGCAAGGAAGCACUCGCAGGAGACCGCCAGCGAUAAGUUGGAGGAAGGUGGGGAUGACGUCAAGUCCUCAUGGCCUUUAUGUCCAGGGCUACACACGUGCUACAAUGGCCGGUACAAAGCGCAGCAAACCCGCGAGGGGGAGCCAAUCGCAGAAAACCGGUCUCAGUUCGGAUUGCAGGCUGCAACCCGCCUGCAUGAAGCUGGAAUCGCUAGUAAUGGCAGAUCAGCACGCUGCCGUGAAUACGUUCCCGGGCCUUGUACACACCGCCCGUCACAUCACGAAAGUGGGUUGUACUAGAAGCUCGCAGGCUGACCCGCAAGGGAGGCAGCGGUCCAAGGUAUGACUCAUGAUUGGGGUGAAGUCGUAACAAGGUAGCCGUAGGAGAACCUGCGGCUG
rnacentral:rRNA from 1 species